ACCUUGUUGGUGUAGUGGUAGCACGCGUCCCCGGAAUGGAUGGGACGCUGGUUCGACUUCCGCCUGAGGUC